UUUAAAGAGAGUUUGAUCCUGGCUCAGGACGAACGCUGGCGGCGUGCCUAAUACAUGCAAGUCGAACGAACGGAGGAAGAGCUUGCUCUUCCAAUGUUAGUGGCGGACGGGUGAGUAACACGUGGGCAACCUGCCUGUAAGUUGGGGAUAACUCCGGGAAACCGGGGCUAAUACCGAAUGAUAAAGUGUGGCGCAUGCCACGCUUUUGAAAGAUGGUUUCGGCUAUCGCUUACAGAUGGGCCCGCGGUGCAUUAGCUAGUUGGUAGGGUAAUGGCCUACCAAGGCAACGAUGCAUAGCCGACCUGAGAGGGUGAUCGGCCACACUGGG
rnacentral:rRNA from 1 species